rnacentral:rRNA from 1 species
AGUGAACGCUGGCGGUAGGCCUAACACAUGCAAGUCGAACGGCAGCACAGUAAGAGCUUGCUCUUACGGGUGGCGAGUGGCGGACGGGUGAGGAAUACAUCGGAAUCUACUUUUUCGUGGGGGAUAACGUAGGGAAACUUACGCUACUACCGCAUACGACCUACGGGUGAAAGCAUGGGAUCUUCGGACCUUGCGCGAUUGAAUGAGCCGAUGUCGGAUUAGCUAGUUGGCGGGGUAAAGGCCCACCAAGGCGACGAUCCGUAGCUGGUCUUAGAGGAUGAUCAGCCACCCUGGAACUGAGACACGGUCCAGACUCCUACGGGAGGCAGCAGUGGGGAAUAUUGGACAAUGGGCGCAAGCCUGAUCCAGCCAUACCGCGUGGGUGAAGAAGGCCUUCGGGUUGUAAAGACCUUUUGUUGAGAAAGAAAAGCAGCAGGUUAAUACCCCGCUGUUCUGACGGUACCCAAAGAAUAAGCACCGGCUAACUUCGUG